GACGAACGCUGGCGGCGUGCUUAACACAUGCAAGUCGAACGGGCUCUGUCUGGCUGUGUGCUGGGUGGGGUUAGUGGCGAACGGGUGAGUAAUACGUGAGUAACCUGCCCUCUUCUUUGGGAUAAGCCUUGGAAACGGGGUCUAAUACUGGAUAUUCCUGUCUGGUCGCAUGGCUGGGUGGGGAAAGUUUUUUUCGGUGGGGGAUGGGCUCGCGGCCUAUCCGCUUGUUGGUGGGGUGAUGGCCUACCAAGGCGUCGACGGGUAGCCGGCCUGAGAGGGUGACCGGCGACACUGGGACUGAGAUACGGCCCAGACUCCUACGGGAGGCAGGAGUGGGGGAUAUUGCACAAUGGGCGCAAGCCUGAUGCAGCGACGCCGCGUGGGGGAUGACGGCUUUCGGGUUGUAAACCUCUUUCGUCGGGGGACAAGGCUCUGCUUGGUGGUGGGGUUGAGGGUACCCGGUGAAGAAGCGCCGGCUAACUACGUG
rnacentral:rRNA from 1 species